rnacentral:tRNA from 1 species
ACCGCAGUAGUAAAGUGGCAGUCCAUUUGGCGUUUAACCGAUCGGUCGUAGGUUCGAGUCCUACCUGCGGAG